rnacentral:rRNA from 1 species
UACAGAGGUGGCAAGCGUUGUUCGGAAUUACUGGGCGUAAAGGGCGCGUAGGCGGUCUUCUAAGUUCCGUGUGAAAUCCCUCAGCUCAACUGGGGAACUGCGUCUGAGACUGGCCGGCUUGAGUGCAGGAGAGGAACGCGGAAUUCCAGGUGUAGCGGUGAAAUGCGUAGAUAUCUGGAGGAACACCGGUGGCGAAGGCGGCGUUCUGGACUGCUACUGACACUGAGGAACGAAAGCCAGGGGAGCAAACGGG